rnacentral:rRNA from 1 species
AUUGAACGCUGGCGGCAGGCCUAACACAUGCAAGUCGAGCGGAUGAAGAGAGCUUGCUCUCUGAUUCAGCGGCGGACGGGUGAGUAAUGCCUAGGAAUCUGCCUGGUAGUGGGGGACAACGUUUCGAAAGGAACGCUAAUACCGCAUACGUCCUACGGGAGAAAGCAGGGGACCUUCGGGCCUUGCGCUAUCAGAUGAGCCUAGGUCGGAUUAGCUAGUAGGUGAGGUAAAGGCUCACCUAGGCGACGAUCCGUAACUGGUCUGAGAGGAUGAUCAGUCACACUGGAACUGAGACACGGUCCAGACUCCUACGGGAGGCAGCAGUGGGGAAUAUUGAACAAUGGGCGAAAGCCUGAUCCAGCCAUGCCGCGUGUGUGAAGAAGGUCUUCGGAUUGUAAAGCACUUUAAGUUGGGAGGAAGGGCAGUAAGUUAAUACCUUGCUGUUUUGACGUUACCAACAGAAUAAGCACCGGCUAACUUCGUGCCAGCCGCCGCCGUAAGAC